rnacentral:lncRNA from 1 species
AUGACAAGGUAUUUCCCACAUAAGCACUUCCUUUUUUGUUUGCUAUAAUUAGCUUUUGCAUGUGUUGCUUUCUCACAGAUAGGAAAAUGGAUUACUUAGGAGUUUGGAAGCACUAACUGGGGUUCAGAUCACCUGGGUUCUGAUCUUGACCCUGUCCCAAAGGUGUCUUUUCCUUUCCAGACCGCAAUUUCUUCACUCUUAACAUGAGAGCUUUGAAGGAAGUGAUUCUAAUGCUUUCUAGCAAUUUCCUCAUUGGGCAUGCUGUGUCAGGGCAUUUAAAUGAUUUCCUGUGAACGCACCAUGUGCGCUUAACCCUGCACAAACUCACCAGCCACAUAGCCUUGACAUUUCUUUCCACAGCUUGGCCACAUUUGGCUGGCCUUAACAGCCUCUGGUCUAACCUUGACCAAGUCUGCAUGCAUUGGUCACUUGGCUCUCUGCCCUUUUCCCCUUCCAGAACUGAAAUUUGCAUCAGCCUCUGUACAGAUCAGUUCUGAGCACCCAAAUUUCUGAGCACCUACUGUGUGUCAUGCCUGGUGCUGGGGGCCCUAAAGGUGAGUCUGACCCACU